UACGUAGGGUGCGAGCGUUAAUCGGAAUUACUGGGCGUAAAGUGUGCGCAGGUGGCUUCGCAAGUCGAGUGUGAAAUCCCCGGGCUUAACCUGGGAAUUGCGCUCGAAACUACGGAGCUGGAGUGUGGCAGAGGAAGGUGGAAUUCCACGUGUAGCGGUGAAAUGCGCAGAUAUCGGGAGGAACACCGGUGGCGAAGGCGGUUCUCUGGGCCUGUACUGACGCUGAGGAGCGAAAGCGUGGGGAGCGAACAGG
rnacentral:rRNA from 1 species